UAGGGAAUCUUGCGCAAUGGGCGAAAGCCUGACGCAGCCAUGCCGCGUGAAUGAUGAAGGUCUUAGGAUUGUAAAAUUCUUUCACCGGGGAAGAUAAUGACGGUACCCGGAGAAGAAGCCCCGGCUAACUUCGUGCCAGCAGCCGCGGUAAUACGAAGGGGGCUAGCGUUGCUCGGAAUUACUGGGCGUAAAGGGCGCGUAGGCGGAUAUCUAAGUUGGGGGUGAAAGCCCGGGGCUCAACCUCGGAAUAGCCUUCAAUACUGGAUAUCUUGAGUUCGGGAGAGGUGAGUGGAAUGCCGAGUGUAGAGGUGAAAUUCGUAGAUAUUCGGCGGAACACCAGUGGCGAAGGCGACUCACUGGCCCGAUACUGACGCUGAGGCGCGAAAGCGUGGGGAGCAAACAGGAUUAGAUACCCUGGUAGUCCACGCCGUAAACGAUGAGUGCUAGUUGUCGGCAUGCAUGCAUGUCGGUGACGCAGCUAACGCAUUAAGCACUCCGCCUGGGGAGUACGGUCGCAAGAUUAAAACUCAAAGGAAUUGAC
rnacentral:rRNA from 1 species